AUUCGGCGGAGGAGGCAGCGACUCGUAACAAGGUUCAACUCAUAGUAAUGGUGUGAGACAUAUGCUGGGUUGAGAGAUUCUGGGAAUUUUUCAGUAAAAGCUCCCCAUAAAAGGUGAAAACGAAGCUUUAUUAAUUAGACGCAGCAGCUCUCAGAUUUCUUCUUCUCCCAAAAACCUCUCAGACCCCAGCACCGCCGCGAUGACCUCGACCGAGACGGAGGACGCCAUACGACAUCGCACCGCCAUCACCGAUUGCCGUAAGAGGUUACUCCAGCACAAGGAGCUCGACUUUCGAGUCCGUGCAGUUUCUGGAGUUUCAGUUUUGCGGAACGAACGCAGAACCCAGAAGAAAAAGAAGAAAGGAGUCGCGCCAACCAAAGAAACAAGGAGACAUAAUUGCUGAACUUCCUUCGCUCGGGGUUAAGCCACAACCUUGGAUCAUAGCUGGUUCUGAAGGUAUCGGAGACUUCAACCAGCUCAGAAGGUCAUACUCGGUAGACCCCCCACAUAUUUAAACUAGCCUAGAUAUCAAAUAAGUUCCAGAAAUAUUGCCUGCAA